GUCCGGCCCUCACAGCGCCACCCACAGGCCACCGCUGGCAGUGUCGCCAGUCAUCACCGUGCAGGAGGCGGCCAGGUUUAACCCACGCUGCCUAGGUUGGCAGCCUCAGGCAGAGCUGUGCUCCCCGGGCAGCCUACUGAACCUCUCCGUCUCAGUUUCCUCCUCUGCGGAUCAGAAAAAAGACCUGGAGUUGUUUAAAAUAUCUGCCCAGCUGGGUCGCUUUGAGGAACGCGCAGGGGAGUGCGCGUUCACCACGUGCUGCUCAGCACAGGGUGCUGGGCACUGGCACGCGGGCUUCCCGCCCUCACCUCCCAAGGGAGCCGGGGAACCACAGAGGUCACGGAUGGCCUCUCCAUAAAGGGCUCUUGAGGGAUUAAACAACGGAACGGCGCCGGCACGCGCUCAGCCCAGGGCACAUGGGCCACCUUCCGGGCCCCUGACCUCGCACAGGGUGCAUCGCCCACCGUCCUGGGAGCCACAUGCCCCACCCCACAGCACGGGGCUCCUCAGCCCGCUCUGCACAGAGGGCUCCUCUGGAGACCCCCACGGCGCGGCAAGGACGCCCUGGCUGCAGAAGUCCAGGCAGAGGCGCUGACUGAGCUCUGUUUUGACCAGCGCAGACUCUGCCUGUCUCUGAGUGCGGCUGCCUCAUCGCAAAGACUCAGAGGUCUGCGGUCUGUCACAGGACAAUCCUACAUCAUCUUGGGGACAGGGACAGGAAGGCUGGAUCCAGCAGAUUCCAAGAACUGGUGA
rnacentral:lncRNA from 1 species